GCAUAUCAUAGCGGAGAAAAGAAAAUAACAAUGAUUCCCUCAGUUAACGGCGAAGUGAACAGGGAAAGCUUCACAGUUGGAACCUAGCUGCCUUAGGUAGUUUCGGAUUGUAAACUGAAAAAGUGUUAUCCAGGCUAGCCGAGUAAAUAAGUUUCUUGGAAUAGAACAUCAUGGAGGGUGAGAAUCCCGUCUUUGGCUUGAGCAUAGUCUUUUGUGUUGCACUUUAACGAGUCAGGUUGUUUGGGAAUGCAGCCUAAAGUGGGAGGUAAAUCCCUCCUAAAGCUAAAUAUUGGCGAGAGACCGAUAGCAAACAAGUACCGUGAGGGAAAGAUGAAAAGAACUUUGAAAAGAGAGUUAAACAGUAUGUGAAAUUGCUAAAAGGGAAGCGUUUGAAGACAGACUAGCUUGGUUAUAAUCAGCCUGGAUUUUUCUUGGUGUACUUGUAGCCUAUGCUUGCCAACAGCAGUUUGGUCUGACUGAAAAAACUAGUAGUAAGGUGGCUCUCUUCGGGGAGUGUUAUAGACUAUUAGAAAAUCAGUUGGACUGGACUGAGGAAUGCAAUGCAGCUUGCCUUGGGGUGAACCAGAUUGAAUAGGAACCAUUGUUCCUUGAAGGUUUGGGUAGCUCUUCGAACUGUAUUUAGGUUGUUGGCUUAAUGUCUUUAAACGGCCCGUCUUGAAACACGGACCAAGGAGUCUACCAAAGAUGCGAGUAUUUGGGUUGUAAACCCAUAUGCGCAAUGAAAGUAAAUAAAGUUGUGAAGGCUUAAGCUGGCAACAACAUCCGGCAUGGACGUUUUAUACUGAAAUGACUGAGAUAAAGCAUCUUUGAUGGGACCCGAAAGAUGGUGAACUAUGCUUGAAAUAGGGUGAAGCCAGAGGAAACUCUGGUGGGAGGCUCGAAGCGAUUCUGACGUGCAAAUCGAUCGUCAAAUUUGAGCAUAGGGGGCGAAAGACUAAUCGAACCAUCUAGUAGCUGGGUUCUGCGA
rnacentral:rRNA from 1 species